UUCCUAUUAAGGAGAGAAAAACAAAAAGAAGUUGUAGAACUACAACCUCUAAUGUAAAUGUUUUUGAGAAGGAUGAGCUGGUUUAAUGGAUAAAUAACAUUUCUCGGAUGGCUGUAGAAUCAAUAAUAAUAAAAAAGCUUCUGCAUAUUUGUUAUUUUCCAUGUUCAAUUUCAAAACAGGAUUACUGAAUUUUGGAAGGUAUGUAAAAUUAAUUUUUUGUAUAAAGAUAACAAUUCAUAUGAAAAUGGGAUACACAGCUAACACUGGUACCAAAUACAGGCUUCCUGUUAAGACAGAUUAUGUAAAUUUACCCCUCUGUUUUCACUUAAUCUGUUCCUCCUAUGUAUUUAUAGUUGUGUUUUUUAAGCAACAGGAUUGCUCACUGCUUCCAAAGGCACACUCAAUCCUCUAUAAAACCACUAACCCUACUCUACUGUUACACAAACAAACAAUGGGCUGUAUACUUAUUACUUACAAAAAAUAAGAAACAUACCCUCUCUGUAGAGGCCUUUUGUACAUUCAAGAUUUUAACUCCAUUUGGCAGAUGAAACUCAUGAGUUUCAUAGUCGGUGCUGAACAAAGUAUUUUGUGUUCGUGGGUCAACAAAUUCCAUGCCAAUAUCGCUGGUAAUA